GAAGCAGGCUCCGGGCUCCGAGCUGUCGGCGCAGAGCCCGAUGCGGGGCUCGAACUCACGGACCGUGAGAUCACGACCUGAGUUGAAGUCAGACGUUUAACUGACUGAGCCACCCAGACGCCCCAGUAUAUUCUUGAUACUAACUACCCUCAUUGUCACACACACAGCGUUUUGAGAUUCAUUCCAUAUUGUUGCACGCAUCUUAUCCUUUUACCAGUCAUAUUCCAUGAGAUUUUGCCUUUCGUGAAUAAAGUGCUCUGAACAUCCUUGGACCGCUAGUUGUGAGGACCUAGAACAUAAGUUUUCAUUUUUCUCAGAUAAAUCCAGAGAAGUGUAAUUCAUAGAUCAGAGAGUAGAAGUACGUUUAACUUUCCAGAACGAUUGUACCAUUUUAUAUUCCCACCAGCCGUGUAAGAGAGUUCCAGAUGCUCCUUAUCCCCCACCUCCUCUUGGUAUUUUCAAUCUUGAAUUAUAGUCAUUUUAGUGGGUGAGCAGUGAUAUCUCCAAUGUGGUUUUAACUUGCAUUUUCCUGACGACUAAAGAUGUUGUGCACUUUGUCCUGUA